rnacentral:tRNA from 1 species
GGGCCCGUAGCUCAGCUUGGAUAGAGCGGCAGACUUCUAAUCUGUAGGUCGCGGGUUCAAAUCCCGCCGGGCCCG